rnacentral:rRNA from 1 species
AGAGUUUGAUCCUGGCUCAGAAUGAACGCUGGCGGCAGGCCUAACACAUGCAAGUCGAACGAAGCCUUCGGGCUUAGUGGCGGACGGGUGAGUAACGCGUGGGAACGUGCCCUUUGGUACGGAAUAGCCCCGGGAAACUGGGAGUAAUACCGUAUGUGCCCUUUUGUUGUAGUGACGGGAGGGGAAAGAUUUAUCGCCAAAGGAUCGGCCCGCGUUGGAUUAGGUAGUUGGUGGGGUAAUGGCCUACCAAGCCGACGAUCCAUAGCUGGUUUGAGAGGAUGAUCAGCCACACUGGAACUGAGACACGGCCCAGACUCCUACGGGAGGCAGCAGUGGGGAAUCUUAGACAAUGGGGGCAACCCUGAUCUAGCCAUGCCGCGUGAUCGAUGAAGGCCUUAGGGUUGUAAAGAUCUUUCAGAUGGGAAGAUAAUGACGGUACCAUCAGAAGA